UAGUGAGAACUGAUAGUAGCCACACGACUAAAAACUCUAUUUUGAUAUAAGGAUUGCUUUUUUAUUAUUAUUUUAAUUUCCACAAAAAAUUCCUAAACAAUCACCUUAACACCACCACCAUCUCCAUAACCAUCACCACCACCUCAUCUAUUGUAUCCACCACCACCGCUUCCACCGGACUGGGCCUCGUUCAUAGCCACUACCGCCAACGGUCUCCAUAUCCACCGCCUACGGGACUAAACUUCGUUCAUAUCCACCACCGCCAUCUCCAUAACCACCACCGCCACCUCUACCACAGUCUCCACAUCCACCGCCACCUCCAUAACCACCAUCACCUUUGUUUAGGCAUCUCUUGGAUCUGACUUUAACAAUUUACUUCUUGUAUAAACUAGGUAUUGUGCCUGCUUCUUAGCUGUCACACUGACAACAUCCACAAAACCGCGACCACAUCCACACAACCGCUGUCCACACCGACCACAUCCAUACAACCGCUGUCCACAGUCUCUUUGUCUCAAGCUCUGCACCUAGAGUUUCACUCAAUUUCCAGGAAAUACGGAGAUCUUUGUUGCAGAAAUCUUGUCAUUUGUUAGGUUUCUUCCACUUGGUAGUUGAUGUUGUAGCAACUUCUUCGUUAUCUUUCUUCCUCUUGGAAAAAUUAUUUCUUCCACUUGUCCGAGAAAAGAAACAUGAUAUGUUAACUUUUUUCCUCAUAAACACAAAACAUUGGCAUUGCGGUUUACAUAUCAAAAUCCUAAUAAGAAAUAUCAU
rnacentral:lncRNA from 1 species